rnacentral:rRNA from 1 species
AUUGAACGCUGGCGGAAUGCUUUACACAUGCAAGUCGAACGGUAGAGGGGGCAACCCCUCGAGAGUGGCGAACGGGUGAGUAAUAUAUCGGAACGUGCCCAGUCGUGGGGGAUAACGUAGCGCAAGUUACGCUAAUACCGCAUACGAUCUAAGGAUGAAAGCGGGGGAUCGCAAGACCUCGCGCGAUUGGAGCGGCCGAUAUCAGAUUAGGUAGUUGGGGGGGUAAAGGCUCACCAAGCCAACGAUCUGUAGCUGGUCUGAGAGGACGACCAGCCACACUGGAACUGAGACACGGUCCAGACUCCUACGGGAGGCAGCAGUGGGGAAUUUUGGACAAUGGACGCAAGUGUGAUCCAGCCAUUCCGCGUGCAGGAUGAAGGCCCUCGGGUUGUAAACUGCUUUUGUACGGAACGAAAAGGUCUCUCUUAAUACGGGGGGCUCAUGACGGUACCGUAAGAAUAAGCACCGGCUAACUACGUGCCAGCCGCCGCGGUAA